rnacentral:rRNA from 1 species
GAGAGUUAAACAGUACGUGAAAUUGUUGAAAGGGAAACGAUUGAAGUCAGUCAUACCAACGGGAAAUCAACCUUUUGAGUUUGUUCUUGUGGGUUUCGAGGAGUUUAAAAGCCUUCUGAUUUGCUAGGAUUGGGCUCUUUUGGUGUACUUUCUCGUACGGUUAGUCAACAUCGGUUUUGAAUGUCAUAAAAUGACUGGAGGAAUGUGGCUUCGAUCUCGUAUCGAAGUGUUAUAACCUUUGGUAGAUGUGAUGUUCGAGACCGAGGAUUGCAACGGAUACCUUUCUGGGCUAUUCGUCUGAUCUCUGAUACGUUGCCUUGAUGUCGAAAGCGUGCUUAUGAUGUUAGGGUAUUACGGUCAAAAGGUUAGAACGGAUUAAAUUCGUUAAGGAUGUUGACGUAAUGACUUUAAACGA